GACAGAGGGUGCAAACGUUGUUCGGAAUUACUGGGCGUAAAGCGUGCGCAGGCGGCCUUGCAAGUCGGGCGUGAAAUCCCACGGCUCAACCGUGGAAGUGCACUCGAAACUGCUCGGCUAGAGUCUUGGAGAGGAAGGCGGAAUGCUUGGUGUAGAGGUGAAAUUCGUAGAUAUUCGCAAGAACACCAGUGGCGAAGGCGGCUCACUGGCUCGGUACUGACGCUGAGGUGCGAAAGCGUGGGGAGCAAACAGG
rnacentral:rRNA from 1 species